rnacentral:rRNA from 1 species
CACCCGCGGCUCGAGUGGUAGUCACUUUUAUUGAGCCUAAAGCGUUUGUAGCCGGAUUUGUAAAUCUCUAGGAAAAUACUUCUGCUUAACUGAAGAAAUUUUGGAGAGACUGCAAAUCUAGGGACCGGGUGAGGUUGAAUGUACUUCUGGGGUAGGGGUAAAAUCCUGUAAUCCUGGAAGGACGACCGGUGGCGAAGGCGUUCAACUAGAACGGAUCCGACGGUGAGGAACGAAGGCUAGGGGAGCAAACCGG